ensembl:lncRNA LRRC77P leucine rich repeat containing 77, pseudogene
GUUGUUUAUGUAAGAAUUUCAAGGCCACAACUCCAUAUUUGAAGUAAAGUGCUCAUAAAAUUAAUUGCAAGGUUUUGAGAAGCCAUCUGCAGCUCACAACUAGAUGAGUGACACAAUCAGAUGUGCGUAUGCAAAAAAAAGCCUGGAGACAUUGAACUAAGAUCAAAUUUAAUGUAUUAAAUAUGGUAGAAAGAAGAGAGAAUGAAAAAUAAUGUUAACAAUCUAGGUGAGGAAUUGCUGAGGAGACAAAUUAAGUAAAUCCUGUGGAAGGAAAGAAGAAAGGAGGAAAGAGGAUUGGAUGGAAGAAUCUCCACUUCUCAUAGGUGUAGUCCUUCCUUAGCCUGCUUUUUAAUGAGUGCUGCUAAAGCCCUUAGCCUGCCUGUUUACCCUUGGAGUGGAGCAAUGAACUGAAGAUAUUUGAGUGAGUUCAAGAGAGACUCAGAAGAGAAGAAUUGGAGGCAGCAAACAUAGACAGCACUUUUAAUGCUUUUCUCAUAUGCUGUAAGACAUGAAAGCAAUCUAUUGGGAUGAAAGCUGAAAGGAGAAGCGGGACAAGAGAAGUGAAUCCGUGGAAGACCCCCAAAAGAGGCUGCAGAUUCUUAGUGGACAGCUCUCAUAUCCCCUCCAGGGAAAAUGAUGAAAAAUGUCUUCAGAAAAAUAGCUUUAUGAAGGCAAGAGGACUUUUUGCACCUGCAAGACAUGUCUGAAAGCUCCUCAGGUCAAAACACAAGUAGUCAAGAGAUUUGUCCAUCUAAUUCAUCAUACUACUCUGAUCCAAGUGAGACCCACACUGGGUCAGCUCCAUCAAGGAGAAGAACAUUCCACCCACGUUUGGAUUCUGGAAUAUCAUCCUUGCUUCCAUCAGAUUCUUGUAAGUACCUCACUUGGCACAAGGUAGACAUGACGUUCAAGGAAGUCAACUGCGUUGCCCAAGAGUAAGAGAAGGAAUCUCUGAAGAAGAGCAACUUUUCAGACAGGUAGAGUGUGCCUUGCUCCCAAGGAAAAGAGUUCUUGAAAAAAACAAAUGGGAAACAUGGCUACAAGAAAACUGGGAAGACUGCAAGAAUUUGAACAUUUCAUUUCAGGGUUUGGGGGAUCCUUACCAAGUUGAAAAUUUUAACAGAAUUCUUAGAAGACUAAUUCGAGUUGAAACCCUCUGGUUAGUGGAUAAUUCACUGGUGGACUUAAGUGCCAUAAGAUUGCCAAGAGUAUUCUCCUGUUUGCCAAACUUAAAAAUGCUGGAUGGAAUCUUGAAGCUACCAGAAGAUUGCUUAUCACCAGAAACCAAUAUUUUUUCAAAAAUAUGCCUUGUAUCCUAAUGCAGUCUGUAUAGAAAGAAAGCAAUCAUCAUUGUUGCUAAAAGCUAAUAAACACAGGACAUGCAUGAUUAAAUAUUGCAGUUUAUUUUAUAUCUUUUUGCUUUUCUAAAUCAAGGUAGGAAAAUAUUUUCUGUAAAGGACCAGAUGGUAAACAUUUCAGGCUUUCUGGGCUAUAUGGUCUCUGUCACAACUACUCAACCCUGCCAUUGUAGUGCAAAAGCAGCCAUUGAUAAUAUGUAAAUGUAUGGGUGUGUCUGUGUCUCAGUAAAACUUUAUUUACAAAAUGA